rnacentral:rRNA from 1 species
GCUACGGGAGGCAGCAGUGGGGAAUAUUGCGCAAUGGGGGAAACCCUGACGCAGCAACGCCGCGUGAGUGAGGAAGUAUCUCGGUAUGUAAAGCUCUAUCAGCGGGGAAGAAAGAGGACGGUACCCGACUAAGAAGCCCCGGCUAACUACGUGCCAGCAGCCGCGGUAAUACGUAGGGGGCGAGCGUUAUCCGGAUUUACUGGGUGGAAAGGGAGCGUAGGCCGGUCUUUAAGCGUGCCGUGAAAUUUUGUGGCUCAACCAUGAGAGUGCGGCGCGAAAUGGAGACCUUGAGUGCGCGGAAGGCAGGCGGAAUUCGUGGUGUAGCGGUGAAAUGCUUAGAUAUCACGAAGAACCCCGAUUGCGAAGGCAGCCUGCCGCAGCGUUACUGACGCUGAAGCUCGAAAGCGCGGGUAUCGAACAGGAUUAGAUACCCGGGUAGUC